rnacentral:rRNA from 1 species
GGAAGGUGCAAGCGUUAAUCGGAAUUACUGGGCGUAAAGCGCGCGUAGGCGGCUAGAUUAGUCGGGUGUGAAAGCCCUGGGCUCAACCUGGGAACUGCAUUCGAUACUGUCUAGCUAGAGUCUGGUAGAGGGAGGCGGAAUUCCGCAUGUAGCGGUGAAAUGCGUAGAGAUGCGGAGGAACACCAAUGGCGAAGGCAGCCUCCUGGACUAACACUGACGCUGAGGCGCGAAAGCGUGGGGGGAGCAAACAGGAUUAGAUACCCUGGUAGUCCACGCCCGUAAACGAUGUCAACUAGCCGUUGGGAGCAGUUUGGCUCUUGGUGGCGCAGCUAACGCGAUAAGUUGACCGCCUGGGGAGUACGGUCGCAAGAUUA